rnacentral:tRNA from 2 species
GCAUCCGUGUUCUAAUGGAUAUGAUUCUGCUCUCCGGAAGCAGAGAUUGCGGGUUCGACUCCCGUCGGGUGCU